CCUUGAGAGACCAAGUAGAGCCUGACAAAGGCAGCCUUUUCUAGGCUACUCUGCAAAAAAGCAAAUUCUUCAGUUGCUAUUAAAUUAACUGAAGUUGUUACAGGACCUUGGGGCAAGGGCAAAAGAGAAAGGAUCUUGCAAUAGUAUCUUAUAAAAUCAUGCAUUGGUAAAAAAUCCACAGUGCAAUGGACCAAUGGAUUUUACUGUAACAGAGUAUGUGAAGUUCACUGAUCUGCUUUCAGAUUCCACACUGCAACUAACCUAUAAGAAAUCACCACUUGGCUGGGUUUUCUUCACACACUUCACCAAAAUGACAUCACGACAGAUUGAAUGAAGUAGCAGCCUUGAAAAUCCAGCUGUCUUCUAUGAAGACACUGAGGAGACUUACAAAAUAAAUGAAGAGAAAAACACAGGGCUCAGCAGAACACAUACUCUUUGGGGGACAUCAGAACACAAUUUAGAAUGUUCUAGUGACAAUGUUCUGAAUGGCACUUUAGAAAUGCAAUCUAUACCCUGGAAGCUGCUGCCACUUCUGUCACAAAGACUAGGCUGGAUCACGUCUUCCUCAGCACUUUACUCAAGCGGAACACCUAUGGACAGAGAUAUCCUGCUCUCUCCCCCUACACCCUCCUACGUACACCCUCUGGGGUCUCUAAUUUGAUGCCUAAUAAAAUCCUACCAAGCUUUCAA